rnacentral:rRNA from 1 species
UACGGAGGGGGCAAGCGUUAUUCGGAAUUAUUGGGCGUAAAGGGCGCGUAGGCGGCUAGAUGUGUCAAAGGUGAAAUCCCUCGGCUCAACUGAGGAACUGCCUUUGAAACUGUCUGGCUUGAGGCCGGGAGAGGGUAGCGGAAUUCCCAGUGUAGCGGUGAAAUGCGUAGAUAUCGAGAGGAACACCAGUGGCGAAGGCGAGUCCCUGGACAACACCUGACACUGAGGCACGAAAGCUAGGGGAGCAAACAGG